rnacentral:rRNA from 1 species
GACGAACGCUGGCGGCGUGCUUAACACAUGCAAGUCGAACGCUGAAGCUCAGCUUGCUGGGUGGAUGAGUGGCGAACGGGUGAGUAACACGUGAGUAACCUGCCCUCUUCUUUGGGAUAACGCCCGGAAACGGGUGCUAAUACUGGAUAUUCACUGAUUCUCGCAUGGGGGUUGGUGGAAAGGUUUUUUCUGGUGGGGGAUGGGCUCGCGGCCUAUCAGCUUGUUGGUGGGGUGAUGGCCUACCAAGGCUUUGACGGGUAGCCGGCCUGAGAGGGUGACCGGUCACAUUGGGACUGAGAUACGGCCCAGACUCCUACGGGAGGCAGCAGUGGGGAAUAUUGCACAAUGGGCGAAAGCCUGAUGCAGCGACGCCGCGUGAGGGAUGGAGGCCUUCGGGUUGUAAACCUCUUUCGCUCAUGGUCAAGCCGCAGCUUUGGGUUGUGGUGAGGGUAGUGGGUAAAGAAGCGCCGGCUAGCUACGUG